CAUACAUUUUUCUCAGUACUUCUUUUCAGGCCAGACAAAAUAAGUUUUUUUUUGUGUUUUUUUUUUUGUGUUUUACUACCUGUUUCCUGAGAUUGUUGUUUCCUAUGAUAUUUACUAACCAAGCAUGCUCAUAAUAGAGUUGAACUGUAUAGAAAUCACAAUGGGAAAUUCCUAAUGUCCUGAGAUUGUUGUUUCCUUUUUCUGCCUUAUUAUUUAUUUCAUAUAAAGUUGCAAUAUACCGAUUAUUACAAUGUGCAUAUUAAGGUUGAUUAAUUUUAGAUUUAAAUUCUUUAUUGUAGGUUGAUUUCCAGAAGUCAAUAAAGAUUUAAGAUAUAAUAACAUUUGAAAUAAAUGUGAUAAAGCAUACAUCAUAGAACAUUCAUUUGACCUGAGCUAAAAUCCUCAACUGCACUGCCAUUGCUCAUACUUGUCAUGGAGACAAUGCUACACAUUGGGGUCAGCUCUCCUUUAAGCCUACAUAGAAAUGUGUAUGCUAUCAUCAGUAGGACACUAAAGUAUAAGACUCUAGUUGCUGCACAACUUAAUAUCACCAGUUGAUAGGCAAACUAUCUAAUUUUCAACACAAUGAAGGAAUUCAGAUGAGAAGAUUCAAAUGAACUUAAGGUACUUCAUUUAAUAUUUUCCACCAC